rnacentral:tRNA from 1 species
GGGGAUGUAGCUCAAUUGGUAGAGCAAUGUGAUACGCUUUCUUAUUUAUCAGGGUUCAACGCUUUCUUAUUUAUCAGGGUUCAACUCUUUGCGUCUCCA